AAUGUAUAGAAUCCAUUGACCAACUAAAUUGUUGGGUGUCUGUAAAUGAGACCAAAAUGUGGGUUGCUUCUUUUCAUGAAGUCAUUUCUCUCGGGGGUUACUGUCAGUGAACUGCAGCUAACCUGUAACUGUGAAUGCUUCGUGUCGUCAGUAUUUGCAUCACCUUCAUAAACGUGUGCAAGUCCUGUGACUCCCAGCUUAACUGAAAUAUUGUUAUGCCACCUAACUUGAGUACAGCAAACUGGUUUUAGGUUUUAAUGUAAUUGAUGUAAAACGAUACCCCAUAAAUAAAAAAGUUAUUUGUGUUUGGUUUC
rnacentral:lncRNA from 1 species